rnacentral:rRNA from 1 species
UACGUAGGGUGCAAGCGUUAAUCGGAAUUACUGGGCGUAAAGCGUGCGCAGGCGGUGAUGUAAGACAGAUGUGAAAUCCCCGGGCCCAACCUGGGAACUGCAUUUGUGACUGCAUCGCUGGAGUGCGGCAGAGGGGGAUGGAAUUCCGCGUGUAGCAGUGAAAUGCGUAGAUAUGCGGAGGAACACCGAUGGCGAAGGCAAUCCCCUGGGCCUGCACUGACGCUCAGGCGCGAAAGCUAGGGGAGCGAACAGG